rnacentral:tRNA from 1 species
GGGCCGGUAGUUCAGUGGUAGAACGCCGCUUUUGCAAAGCGGAGGUCAGGGGUUCGAUUCCCCUCUGGUCCA